ensembl:miRNA
CCCGCUGUCAGCCGCACUCGGGCCACCGGGUGCAGCCGGCACGCGCUUGCCGGGCACCCCGCGCUGCAGGCUGCGCCCGGGGACGGGGAGGCGGGAGCUCCUC